rnacentral:rRNA from 1 species
GAUGAACGCUGGCGGCGUGCCUAAUACAUGCAAGUCGAGCGAAGCGCGGACGGUUGAGUAACACGUGGAUAACCUCCUAUAAGACUGGGAUAAUUCCGGGAAACCGGAGCUAAACCGGAAACUUUUAGAUGGUUCCGCGGUGCAUUAGCUAGUUGGUAAGGUAACGGCUGACCAAGGCAACGAUGCAUAGCCGACCUGAGAGGGUGAUGGGCCACACUGGAACUGAGACACGGUCCAGACUCCUACGGGAGGCAGCAGUAGGGAAUCUUCCGCAAUGGGCUAAAGCCUGACGGAGCAACGCCGCGUGAGUGAUGAAGGUCUUCGGAUCGUAAAACUCUGUUAUUAGGGAAGCGGUACCUAAUCAGAAAGCCACGGCUAACUACGUGCCAGCAGCCGCGGUAAUAC